AUCACGCUAACAGGCAGCAACACAGCAGCAGAGACCAGAGAGCUCUGACUCUUCCAGAAGCUAAGCAGGGAAGGGAAGGGGGGCAAACCGCUGUUUUUAUCAAUGGCUUUUCGUCCCUACCCAUACUGUUUUCCUGUCUCACACAUUCCAUGCUCCAGCUCCCAACACCCAACCCCCAACCCCCAAUUUCUAUCAUCGCCUGGGUGAAACUAGCCUCCAAUCCAGAGUUUAAUAACAGCCACAGAGAUUCAUAUGGAAUUGUGUACUUGGAGAGACCCAAUAAUCAUCCCCCUUAAUUCCAAUGCAGAAUGCUCAGGAGUUAAUCAAUCCUAGUUUCCAUCUGCGCACAUGUUGUGUUGCAGUCCAAGGAUGUACUUGACCACCCAACUGGCCUGCUGUAAUAGAGACCUAAGUGCUGUGUACUCAGAAACAUUGACAAGCUAUUAUCUUACUUCUUGCCUCCCUGGCCACAAUUCUACACAGAAUCCUGGAAAACUAUGUAAACACCCACAGGCCUUGGAGGAUGUUAGUGUCAAUCUACUGGGAAGAUGACCCCUGAAGACCCUGUAAUCCUCAUCAUUCUGUGAUUCAAAGUGAAAAGCAAUAUGGCCAUGUGAGUCAGUACAAAGAGCAUGGGAUUUGGAAUGAGAAGACCUGAACUUCAGUCCUGGCUUGGCUGUCCACUCACUUUGUGACCUCAAAGAAGCUGAAUGAACAUGUAUUGAGCCUAUGUCUUGCAGCAAGUACUGACUUAGGAUUUGAGGAAAUAAGAUCACCAGACUUGGGACAUGUCCUGAAGUGGAUCAUUGACUCAUGGAGCACCGAGAAUUGUAGACAAUUUCCUCACAUUUUCCUUAUAUAUAGACCGAGCAAACUAACAGCAACUUCUUAGAGUUGUGAGCAUCAAACAAGAUAGAGGUUGUGAAAAGGACUUGGGGACUAUAUGUCACGCAAAGUUAGUGGUAAUUAUUAAUGCUAAGACUGAACUCAUAAUAACUCAUAGAUAUUAUCAUGGUCAUCACCUACAUGAUAUGAUCCCUACUGACCCCUCCAGCGUCAUUUCCCACUAGCUCUCUGUCCUUCUUCUUGGUUGAACAGACCAAAAUAUUCCUUUCUCAGGGUCUUUGCAUUGCCUGAAAUGCAUUUACCCCAGUUAUCUGCACAGUUAAUUCUUUCAUUUUAUUCACACUUUUACUCAAAAGUUAUAUUCCCCAUGGAGGGCCUCUCUGUUCACCAUAUCUAAAAUAGAAAACAUGUGUAUACACACACAGUGCACACACAUACACAUGCAUACAACACACAUGCAUAUAGACAUGCUACAUACACAUACCCACACACACAUACACACAUAUACACACAAGACACAUGUGCGUAUAUGUAUGCACAUACUCUCUAGUUCCUUAUCCUGCUUUAUUUUUCUUCAGAGUACUACCUCUUCCUGAAACUAUGUUUUUAUAUGCUUGUUCACAUGUUUGUUAUCUGACUCUCCACUGUAAGUUCUGUGAGGGCAGAGACUUUGGCUUGUUCAACAUCGUAUUUCCAGUCCCAGAACAACUCCUGACUCAUAAUGUACACUCAAUAAUUAUUGAAAUAUAAUUCAUAUACCAUACAAUUCAUCUAUUUAAAGUAUAAAAUCCAAUGUUGUUUGUUUGUUUUUUGAGACAGGGUCUUACUCUCUCAUCCAAGCUGACAUCCCUGCAGCCACUGCUGCUUUAACUUCCUGGGCUCGAGAGUAGCUGAGACACAGGUGCACAUCACCACAUCUGGCUAACUAAAAAAAAAAAAAUUAUGGGGAUGGGGUCACACUAUGUUGCCCAGGCUGGUGUUGAACUCCUUGGCUCAAGCAAUCCUCUCAGUGCCUCCACCUCCCAAAGUGUUGGGAUUACAGGUAACGAAAUCACCUACUGAUGCAUUUCUCAGAAUAUAUUGCUGUCAUUAAACUAUGCAUGUCUGCAUUUACAGGGUUGUCCAAACAUGAUCACAAUUUUAGAACACUUUCAUCACCCCAGAAAGAAACCCAUACCUGUGAGUGCCACUCUCUAUUAUCCCCUUAAGCCACCCUACCACCCCCGACCCUUGCCUUAGGCAAUUAUGAGUCUACUUUCUGUCUCUAUAGAUUUGUCUAUUCUGGACACAUCACAUACAUGAAAUUAUACAUAUAUGGUCUUUUUGAAAUUAAAUUUUGACUAAUGAACAAAUUACUAAAUCCAAUUCUU